UACGGAGGAGGCAAGCGUUAUCCGGAAUUAUUGGGCGUAAAGCGUCCGCAGGUGGCACCUCAAGUCUGCUGUCAAAGACCGGGGCUUAACCCCAGAAAGGCAGUGGAAACUGAAGUGCUAGAGUGCAGUAGGGGUAGAGGGAAUUCCCGGUGUAGCGGUGAAAUGCGUAGAGAUCGGGAAGAACAUCGGUGGCGAAAGCGCUCUGCUGGACUGCAACUGACACUCAGGGACGAAAGCUAGGGAGCGAAUGGG
rnacentral:rRNA from 1 species